rnacentral:rRNA from 1 species
GAUGAACGCUGGCGGCGUGCCUAAUACAUGCAAGUCGAGCGAACAGACGAGGAGCUUGCUCCUCUGACGUUAGCGGCGGACGGGUGAGUAACACGUGGAUAACCUACCUAUAAGACUGGGAUAACUUCGGGAAACCGGAGCUAAUACCGGAUAAUAUAUUGAACCGCAUGGUUCAAUAGUGAAAGACGGUUUUGCUGUCACUUAUAGAUGGAUCCGCGCCGCAUUAGCUAGUUGGUAAGGUAACGGCUUACCAAGGCGACGAUGCGUAGCCGACCUAAGAGGGUGAUCGGCCACACUGGAACUGAGACACGGUCCAGACUCCUACGGGAGGCAGCAGUAGGGAAUCUUCCGCAAUGGGCGAAAGCCUGACGGAGCAACGCCGCGUGAGUGAUGAAGGUCUUCGGAUCGUAAAACUCUGUUAUUAGGGAAGAACAUAUGUGUAAGUAACUAUGCACGUCUUGACGGUACCUAAUCAGAAAGCCACGGCUAACUACGUG